UUCUGUACAUUAAGACUUCUGUCCAAUUUACCUUUGCAAGUGAGUAUGGUCACACACAAAGAGUUUCUCAUCAGCUCCUGCUGUGCCAGCACAAUGGGGUUGGCAGGUCUCCAGGACAGAACAUCUGGCGCUUGAGAAAGAGACUACAGAAGGUGAUGGGCAUGGCUCAGGAACAAUGGCAACAGUACAGACUCAUACACCGCUGAGAAAGAAGGAGGAGUAAAACUCACAACAGACUCGAGGAUCUUAAGGAUACACCGGCUGUGAUCUCUGCUGUAUAAAGAGGGGGAUCAAUGCAAUCUUGGCACACACUGAAGGCGUUUUCAGCAUUCUGGACAUUAAAGCAGAAUCACAAAGGCCCUGCUCCUGUCAUGAGCUGUCCCUCCCCUGUGUUUAGCGGCGAGAGUUCCAGAAAUAAAGCAACAAAGGCCUUAUCCAACGAGUCCGGCUUAAAUGAAGUACACUCCUCCAAGCCAUGUCAAGCUACCCCUGCACAGCGGUCUUAUUCAUUUGACCUUCAUCCAUGCUGGAGAAAAGAGGGAAAAUGCCAACCAGAUCUGUGGUGUUCAUAAUGCAUUGGCCGUCCCGGAGCAGAAAGCAGACAGGCUUUCUAAUCUAACACGGCGUGCUGCAGACGGACAGAGAGAGAGAGAGAGAGCUGUCACGGAGACAUGCAGCCUCACAGCCGUGGACACAUCCAUAAUGUGGAGCUCAGUGGGCCAAGCACAUCCCAGCGUUCCCCUCUUCAUCACAAAUUCCAACACAAGCCCUUCUGCCACCAGCACACAGAGAGCACCGAGUUCAGCCGAGAUCCUGAAUUCAAUAUCAAACCCCAGGGUGCAGAAAGGGUCUGGUGCACCUCCUUGCAAG